GUAUUUCAGCUAUGCAUUCUCAAGAAGGAGGAGAUUAAUGAACCCACCCCCCUUACAAUGAACAACACAUGGGCACUCUGAGGAUGAUCCCUUUUCUUCCAUUAAGAGUUCCAAGAUGUGGGUCUGAUUGACGGGGGUGUGAAAUGUAACAGCCAAUGGUAUACUUAAGCUAGGACUGACAGUCCCAAUAUUCAAGAGGAAAAACCCCUACAUAAACAAAUACAUGGGCGCAGACAUUUUGGACACCCAAAGUUGUGCGGAGGAGAAAAUGCUAGCUGGCGCGUGAUUGGUCAAUAAGAGAAAAGACUUGUUAUGUAUCUGACUAGUGAAAUAAAGUUGAUAAAAAUCUCAUAUCAAGACUUGGGAUUCUUUGAGAUAUAUAGGAGUUACAGGUAAAAAUUUGAAGGGAAGGGUGCCCUUUGGUUAGAGAUUUUCAUUUGGUGUCAAACGCACCUUGUUGUAAACAAAUGGAAAUUGAAAGUAAAAGUGCCGCGUGACGGUAUAUUUUUUCUGGCAUGUUUUGUUUUCCAAUAUCUCGAACUUUCACGGCAAAAAGGUCAUUUGCCCAAAAUUCAAUAUAUGUAUGAGUGACAGGGGCUCAAGUUUGUAUGGAAGUCUAUGGGAAAACAUUUGGUGGUGUUUGUCCUAUAGAAUAGCGAUGCAUUCUCAAGAAGGAGGAGAUUAAUGAACCCACCCCCCUUACAAUGAACAACACAUGGGCACUCUGAGGAUGAUCCCUUUUCUUCCAUUAAGAGUUCCAAGAUGUGGGUCUGAUUGACGGGGGUGUGAAAUGUAACAGCCAAUGGUAUACUUAAGCUAGGACUGACAGUCCCAAUAUUCAAGAGGAAAAACCCCUACAUAAACAAAUACAUGGGCGCAGACAUUUUGGACACCCAAAGUUGUGCGGAGGAGAAAAUGCUAGCUGGCGCGUGAUUGGUCAAUAAGAGAAAAGACUUGUUAUGUAUCUGACUAGUGAAAUAAAGUUGAUAAAAAUCUCAUAUCAAGACUUGGGAUUCUUUGAGAUAUAUAGGAGUUACAGGUAAAAAUUUGAAGGGAAGGGUGCCCUUUGGUUAGAGAUUUUCAUUUGGUGUCAAACGCACCUUGUUGUAAACAAAUGGAAAUUGAAAGUAAAAGUGCCGCGUGACGGUAUAUUUUUUCUGGCAUGUUUUGUUUUCCAAUAUCUCGAACUUUCACGGCAAAAAGGUCAUUUGCCCAAAAUUCAAUAUAUGUAUGAGUGACAGGGGCUCAAGUUUGUAUGGAAGUCUAUGGGAAAACAUUUGGUGGUGUUUGUCCUAUAGAAUAGGUAUUAUUUCAUGGAUAAACAUUGAUUACAGCCAAAAAAUCAAUCAGUUCCUAUUUUUUUGGCAAUGAGAUCAUAUUUUAGUUAGUUUUUACUAUUUGUUUAA